UACGUAGGGUGCAAGCGUUGUCCGGAAUUAUUGGGCGUAAAGAGCUCGUAGGCGGUUUGUCGCGUCUGCUGUGAAAACUCGGGGCUUAACUCCGGGCCUGCAGUGGGUACGGGCAGACUAGAGUGCGGAAGGGGAGACUGGAAUUCCUGGUGUAGCGGUGAAAUGCGCAGAUAUCAGGAGGAACACCGGUGGCGAAGGCGGGUCUCUGGGCCGUAACUGACGCUGAGGAGCGAAAGCGUGGGGAGCGAACAGG
rnacentral:rRNA from 1 species